UAAGCAUAUCAAUAAGCGGAGGAAAAGAAACCAACAGGGAUUGCCUUAGUAACGGCGAGUGAAGCGGCAACAGCUCAAAUUUGAAAUCUGGCUCUUUUAGGGUCCGAGUUGUAAUUUGCAGAGGGCGCUUUGGCUUUGGCAGCGGUCCAAGUUCCUUGGAACAGGACGUCACAGAGGGUGAGAAUCCCGUACGUGGUCGCUAGCUAUUGCCGUGUAAAGCCCCUUCGACRAGUCGAGUUGUUUGGGAAUGCAGCUCUAAAUGGGAGGUAAAUUUCUUCUAAAGCUAAAUAUUGGCCAGAGACCGAUAGCGCACAAGUAGAGUGAUCGAAAGAUGAAAAGCACUUUGGAAAGAGAGUCAAACAGCACGUGAAAUUGUUGAAAGGGAAGCGCUUGCAGCCAGACUUGCUUGCAGUUGCUCAUCCGGGCUUUUGCCCKGUGCACUCUUCUGCAGGCAGGCCAGCAUCAGUUUGGGCGGUGGGAUAAAGGUCUCUGACACKUUCCUUCCUUCGGGUUGGCCAUAUAGGGGAGACSUCAUACCACCAGCCUGGACUGAGGUCCGCGCAUCUGCUAGGAUGCUGGCGUAAUGGCUGUAAGCGGCCCGUCUUGAAACACGGACCAAGGAGUCUAACAUCUAUGCGAGUGUUUGGGUGUCAAGCCCGAGCGCGUAAUGAAAGUGAACGGAGGUGGGAACCCGCAAGGGCGCACCAUCGACCGAUCCUGAAGUUUACGGAAGGAUUUGAGUAAGAGCAUGGCUGUUGGGACCCGAAAGAUGGUGAACUAUGCUUGAAUAGGGUGAAGCCAGAGGAAACUCUGGUGGAGGCUCGCAGCGGUUCUGACGUGCAAAUCGAUCGUCAAAUUUGGGCAUAGGGGCGAAAGACUAAUCUAACUAUCUAGUAG
rnacentral:rRNA from 1 species